rnacentral:rRNA from 1 species
GUCGGUCGGUCGUUGAUCAUGCUUGUCGAGGGUAACAGCUCUUCGGAUGCUGACGAGUGGCGAACGGGUGAGUAAUGCGUAGGAAUCUGUCUUUUAGUGGGGGACAACCCAGGGAAACUUGGGCUAAUACCGCAUGAGCCCUGAGGGGGAAAGCGGGGGAUCUUCGGACCUCGCGCUAAGAGAGGAGCCUACGUCCGAUUAGCUAGUUGGCGGGGUAAAGGCCCACCAAGGCGACGAUCGGUAGCUGGUCUGAGACGAGGACCAGCUACACUGGGACUGAUACACGGCCCAGACUCCUACGGGAGGCAGCAGUGGGGAAUUUUUCGCAAUGGGGGCAACCCUGACGAAGCAAUGCCGCGUGCAUGAAGAAGGCCUUCGGUUUGUAAAGUCCAUUCGUGGAGGACGAAAAGGUGGGUUCUAAUACAAUCUGCUAUUGACGUGAAUCCAAGAAGAAGCACCGGCUAACUCCGUGCCAGCAGCCGCGGUAAUACGGGUGGUGCAAGCGUUAAUCGGAAUCACUGGGCGUAAAGGGUGCGUAGGCUGUAGUUAGGUCUGUCGUGAAAUCCCCGGGCUCAACCUGGGAAUGGCGGUGGAAACCGGUGUACUAGAGUAUGGGAGAGGGUGGUGUAAUUCCAGGUGUAGCGGUGAAAUGCGUAGAGAUCUGGAGGAACAUCAGUGGCGAAGGAGGUCACCUGGCCCAAUACUGACGCUGAGGCACGAAAGCAUGCUGGAGCACACAGGAUUAGAUCCGGG